rnacentral:lncRNA from 1 species
UCUUCUUCGUGUUUGAUGUGAAGCUAGAAAGAUCAGUCCAUGGAUUCCAGUAUUGUUCCCCACUGCCAGAAUCUGGCCUCUGAACACCCAAUCCCCACCAGCCCCAAACUCCACCUGCCCUCAAAUUUCACGGCCUCUUGGGGUUUCAUACCUGUGUGCCUCCCCCUGAGCCCACUAGCACCCAUGAAACCCUGCUCUGCACUCUCAAGUGGGUUCCUCAUCCUGAGCCCAUUUGCUCCCACAAAAC